CGGAGCAUGUAGUUUAAUUCGAAGACACGCGAAGAACCUUUACCAGGGCUUGACAUGCCGCUGACCGGUGCAGAGAUGCAUCUUUAUCCUUCGGGGUACAGCGGACACAGGUGGUGCAUGGUUGUCGUCAGCUCGUGUCGUGAGAUGUUGGGUUAAGUCCCGCAACGAGCGCAACCCUUGUCUUUAGUUGCCAUCAUUAAGUUGGGCACUCUAAAGAGACUGCCGAUGACAAAUCGGAGGAAGGUGGGGAUGACGUCAAAUCAUCAUGCCCUUUAUGUCCUGGGCUACACACGUGCUACAAUGGUCGGUACAACGAGAAGCAAGCCAGCGAUGGCAAGCAAAUCUCUAAAAGCCGAUCCCAGUUCGGAUUGCAGGCUGCAACUCGCCUGCAUGAAGUCGGAGUUGCUAGUAAUCGCGGAUCAGAAUGCCGCGGUGAAUGCGUUCCCGGGUCUU
rnacentral:rRNA from 2 species